CCCAACUAUCCCUAUUAAUCAUUACAUCGAUCCUAGAAACCAACAAAAUAGAAUGCGAUGUCCUAUUUCAUUAUUCCAUGCUAAUGUAUUCAAGCGUUAGCCUGCUUUAAACACUCUAAUUUUUUCAAGGUAACAGUCCUAAUUCCCCAAGACACCAAAUUAAUGACAUCAAGGUUCUUCAGAAGGUAGAAACCAAUAAUACCAGUACGUACCGAGGCACGACCGACAAAUUGAUCCCGAAAUUCAACUACGAGCUUUUUAACUGCAACAACUUUAAUAUACGCUAUUGGAGCUGGAAUUACCGCGGCUGCUGGCACCAGACUUGCCCUCCAA
rnacentral:misc_RNA from 1 species